rnacentral:rRNA from 1 species
UACAGAGGUCUCAAGCGUUGUUCGGAUUCAUUGGGCGUAAAGGGUGCGUAGGUGGCGCCGUAAGUCGGGUGUGAAAUUUCGGAGCUUAACUCCGAAACUGCAUUCGAUACUGCGGUGCUUGAGGACUGGAGAGGAGACUGGAAUUCAUGGUGUAGCAGUGAAAUGCGUAGAGAUCAGCAGGAACACCCGUGGCGAAGGCGGCCCCCUGGGCCGUACCUGACGCUGAGGCGCGAAGGCUAGGGGAGCGAACGGG